GUCUGCCGGAACCUUCGAGCGUCCGGGAUGAAAUAAGCGUUGCACGUCACGUGUCGUGCUGGUGUUCGGCGUCUGUGCAGUCUCUAGGCACCCGUUUCUGUUACGAGCGCCAUGUCGUGCGCCACUGACUAUGACGUGCAGUUCGCGUCGCGUUUCUCGGCGGAGGACGCGGAGUUCCAGCGUUACCGGCAGCGCGAGCCAGACCCGCCGCCGGUGCUCGAGGACUGGAGAGCGGCGCGCGGGCGCAGAGACAGAGACAGGCGACUCCCGGAGCAGCGGCAGCACGAGCCCCGCGGCCAUCAUUUCCCGGACCGCCGCAAUGAACGGAACUCCGGCUCUCAGUCUCACGGCCAGAGGUCUCGUUACUGACCCACGGCGACGGCGUCUGACCUAGUGUGCGAUGUUUGUUUGAUCAUUUCUUUCCUUGGUGGAAUUACACUUCCCUUUGUAAAUAAAGCAGAUCAAAUUAUA